rnacentral:rRNA from 1 species
GAUGAACGCUAGCGGCAGGCUUAAUACAUGCAAGUCGUGGGGCAGCAUGAGUGUAGCAAUACAUUUGAUGGCGACCGGCAAACGGGUGCGGAACACGUACACAACCUUCCUAUAAGUGGGGAAUAGCCCAGAGAAAUUUGGAUUAAUACCCCGUAACAUAAUGAUGUGGCAUCACAUUAUUAUUAUAGCUUCGGCGCUUAUUGAUGGGUGUGCGGCUGAUUAGAUAGUUGGCGGGGUAACGGCCCACCAAGUCUACGAUCAGUAGCUGAUGUGAGAGCAUGAUCAGCCACACGGGCACUGAGACACGGGCCCGACUCCUACGGGAGGCAGCAGUAAGGAAUAUUGGUCAAUGGACGCAAGUCUGAACCAGCCAUGCCGCGUGAAGGAUUAAGGUCCUCUGGAUUGUAAACUUCUUUUAUCUGGGACGAAAAAAGGCGAUUCUUCGUCACUUGACGGUACCAGAUGAAUAAGCACCGGCUAACUCCGUGCCAGCCGCCGCCGUAAUAC